UUUUCGAAGAAAUUAUUAAUUAAGUGGUAUUUAAUUGUUUAUCUGACAUUUUGUUAUAGUUCCAUGCCAUUAGGAUGUUUGAUGAAGAUUUACUACCUAUAAAAACACCCAUCAGAAUGUUCAUCCAACAUGGCAGAUUGCGAAUGUAUUAUGGGAUAUAGAAAUAGCUUGCAGUGCCAUCAAAUUCUAAAAAAGAACUUAAUUUUCUAUGGAAAUAACGAUUUACUGUAGCUGUGAACUCAAAAUUACGAAAGAAAAAUUAAAAAAAAUCUUGGGACACCGGUGUCCCAUAUACAUACGUGAAAGAGAUAUAUACCAAUAUUCAAACCAUUUGGUUGAAACAUUUUGGUUACUGUAGAACGUUCUUAUUUCGAUUUUCAUCAUUAUAAUGGCAUUUUUAAGCCUAUA